GGAUGUGCGAGAAGCAAUUUUAAAACCUCGUUGUUUAAGUUUAGACUUGGUUGCCAAAUCCCAUGUGUCCAUGCAAUCAAUGCCUCGGCAUUGUUUGGGCACAUGGUCAUAGAUUUAGGCUGAGCCACGUCUAAAAGAAGAACUCAGAUCUGAAAUAUUACUCGUGAACUUCUGUGUGCUUUCUACGCUGCAAUUGCUGCGGGCACGUACAGUCGAGUAUUAAAUUAA